GGCGCACGGGUGCGUAACGCGUAUGCAACCUACCCUUUACUGGGGGAUAGCCCGGAGAAAUUCGGAUUAAUACCCCAUGGUACUGUAAUAUAGCAUUAUAUAGCAGUUAAAGAUUUAUUGGUAAAGGAUGGGCAUGCGUGACAUUAGUUAGUUGGUGAGGUAACGGCUCACCAAGACGAUGAUGUCUAGGGGUUCUGAGAGGAAGGUCCCCCCACACUGGUACUGAGACACGGACCAG
rnacentral:rRNA from 1 species